rnacentral:rRNA from 1 species
AUGGAGGCGGCUCUGGUGAGUGCGGCGACGGGUGCCUUGAAGCCCGUCCUUGGGAAGCUGGCCACCAUUUUGGGUGACGAGUACAAGCGUUUCAAAGGCGUGCGUGGUGAGAUCAAAUCGCUCUCUAGCGAACUCACCGCCAUGGAAGCGUUUCUUCUGAAGAUGUCAGAGGAGGAGGAUCCUGAUGUUCAGGAUAAGGUGUGGAUGAAUGAGGUCCGGGAGCUCUCCUAUGACAUGGAGGACUCCAUUGAUGACUUCAUGCAAAGUGUCGGCAGCGAAGAUACAAAGCCAGAUGGCUUCUUGGAGAAGAUGAAGAACUCAUUGGGAAAGAUGGGGAAGAUGAAGGCUCGUCGGCGAAUAGGCAACGAGAUAGGAGAUCUGAAGAAGCAAAUCAUCGAGGUGGCGGAGAGGAAUGCAAGGUACAAGGCCCAUGAGGCCUUCUCCAAGGCCAAGAAUACAACCAUUGAUCCUAGAGCUCUUGCUAUCUUUCAGCAUGCCUCCGAGCUUGUCGGAAUUGAUGAACCCAAGGCUGAGUUAAUUAAACUAUUGACUCAAGGUGUGUCAACACAAGAGAAAAUAAAGUUGGUAUCCAUAGUAGGAUCCGGUGGAAUGGGCAAGACAACUCUUGCAAAUCAAGUGUAUGAAGAUCUCAAAGGAGAAUUCCAAUGUCAGGCCUUCAUAUCUGUGUCUAGAAAUCCAGAGAUGAUGAAUAUCAUGAGAACUAUUUUUAGUGAAGUCAGUGGGAAAGAUUAUGCUAACACUGAAGCAGGUAGUAUACAACAACUCAUUAGCAAGAUCGCCGAUUUCCUGGCAGACAAAAGGUAUUUUGUUGUUGUUGAUGACAUAUGGGAUGUGGAUACAUGGCAUGUUCUUAAGCAUGCAUUUCCGGUGAAAAGUUCAGGCAGUAUCAUAAUCACUACUACUCGUAUAAAUGAUGUUGCUGAAUCAUGUCGUUCAACACCAUUUAGUGGAGAUAUUUAUUGCAUAAGGCCUCUUGACAUGGUGCACUCCAGGCAAUUGUUUUACACAAGAUUAUUCAACGUCGAAGAAAAUUGCCCCUCAUACCUUAAAAAGGUUUCUGAGCAUAUUUUGAGAAAAUGUGCUGGAUUGCCUUUGGCAAUCAUUGCUAUAUCUGGUUUGUUGGCUAAUACUGAAAGGACAGAGGGUCCAUGGAAACAAGUUGAAGAUUCGAUUGGUCGAGCACUUCAAAGAAAUCCCAGUGUUGAAGGAAUGAUGAAGAUACUAUCACUUAGUUACUUUGAUCUGCCUGCUCAUCUGAAAUCUUGUCUUUUAUGUUUGAGUAUAUUCCCUGAAGAUUCUGUUAUCAGUAAGAAAAUUUUGAUAAAGAGGUGGAUUGCUGAAAGAUUAAUUCAUACAGAAGCCGGAUAUAGUACAACAUAUGAGUUUGGUGAAAGGUGUUUUAAUGAGCUCAUCAAUAGGAGUUUGAUCCAACCCGCGGAAACCAACAAAUAUGGUAUGGUAAAGUACUGUCGAAUUCAUGACACAGUUCUUGAUUUCAUCAUAUCCAAAUCCAUCGAAGAAAACUUUGUUACUUUGGUAGGUGUUCCUAGUUUAACUGUUGGCACACGAGUUCGCCGGCUGUCCCUGCAAGCCGGCAAGCAAAAAGAAUUGAUAGUGCCAAAAGGCUUGGUGUUGUCUCAUGUCCGAUCACUUGAUGUGUUUGGAGAAUCUGUGAAAAUCCCUUCUAUGGAUAAGUUCAGGCAUUUGCGUUUUCUGGACUUUGAAGGUUGCAAACAACUGGAGAACCAUCAUCUUAAAAAUAUAGAUAACUUGUUUCAGCUGAGGUACCUGAGCCUUCAUGGGGUGAAGAAAGUAAGCAACCUCCCAGAACAAAUUGGACGCCUAUGGUGCUUAGAGAUACUGGACUUAACUGAUACGUCUGUUUAUGAGUUACCAGCAUCUAUUGUCAAUCUCAAGAGACUGGUGCACCUAUUGGUAAACCUGUAUGUAACACUUCCUUGUGGAAUUCCCAAGCUGCAAGCACUGGAGAAAUUGAAGCAUGUCAAUGUCUAUUGUCAGUCAUUUAACUUCCUGCAAGAAUUUGAGCAGAUGCAGAGUCUUAAAGUAUUGCACCUUCAUUUUGAGGAUUAUUAUUUUGUUGAGGGAAUGGACGCUGAAAAUGAGUCCAAGAAAACUAUUAUUGCCACUUCCCUUACAAACCUAGGGAACCUUCUCUCUCUAACUGUUUGUGACGGCCCUGAAUUUGUAAGGGAGUCUUUGUGCCCUAUGCCACUUAGCCUCCAGAAGCUGAAAGUCUUGAAUUCUAGUAUUCCCCAUGUUCCAAAUUGGGUGGGCUCCCUUAUCAACCUCCAGAAAUUACGCCUUGAAUUGGUGAGAGCUGAGCAGGAAGAUUUAUAUAUCCUUGGAGGCUUACCUGUUCUGCAUUGUCUGAUUCUGAGAAUUGAUGGCCAUGAAAUUAGAAAUACCUCAUUAACAGAAGAGCUCGAAGUUACAAGGGUCAUAGUCUGUGGUGAAGUUGGAUUCCCAUGCUUGAGGAUAUUUAUUUUUGAUAGUCAGUGUGCUGUGAUGAAUUUGACCUUUGCGGCUGGAGCCAUGCCCUUGGUAGAUGACCUCUUGAUAGUAUUUAACGCAGAAGAAACUGGGUCUCCCGGUACCAGCGGUGAUUUUGAUCUCGGAAUAGAAAAUCUCCUCAGCCUCGUUAAAAUCAGAUGUGUAGUAUGGGGAGACGAGGACGACAGAGUUGAGGCUGCAGAAGCUGCCAUUCGGGAAGCAGCCAACGCACAUCCCAACCGCCCUACUCUACGCUUGGACUGA